rnacentral:rRNA from 1 species
AUUGAACGCUGGCGGCAGGCUUAACACAUGCAAGUCGAGCGGGGUGAUGGUGCUUGCACUAUCACUUAGCGGCGGACGGGUGAGUAAUGCUUAGGAAUCUGCCUAUUAGUGGGGGACAACAUCUCGAAAGGGAUGCUAAUACCGCAUACGUCCUACGGGAGAAAGCAGGGGAUCACUUGUGACCUUGCGCUAAUAGAUGAGCCUAAGUCGGAUUAGCUAGUUGGUGGGGUAAGGGCCUACCAAGGCGACGAUCUGUAGCGGGUCUGAGAGGAUGAUCCGCCACACUGGGACUGGGACACGGCCCAGACUCCUCCGGGAGGCAGCAGUGGGGAAUAUUGGACAAUGGGGGGAACCCUGAUCCAGCCAUGCCGCGUGUGUGAAGAAGGCCUUAUGGUUGUAAAGCACUUUAAGCGAGGAGGAGGCUCUUUUGGUUAAUACCCAAGAUGAGUGGACGUUACUCGCAGAAUAAGCACCGGCUAACUCUGUGCCAGCCGCCGCGGUAA